rnacentral:rRNA from 1 species
CCUACGGGAGGCAGCAGUCGAGAAUCAUUCACAAUGGGGGAAACCCUGAUGGUGCGACGCCGCGUGGGGGAAUGAAGGUCUUCGGAUUGUAAACCCCUGUCAUGUGGGAGCAAAUUAAAAAGAUAGUACCACAAGAGGAAGAGACGGCUAACUCUGUGCCAGCAGCCGCGGUAAUACAGAGGUCUCAAGCGUUGUUCGGAUUCACUGGGCGUAAGGCGUGCGUAGGCUGUUUCGUAAGUCGUGUGUGAAAGGCGCGGGCUCAACCCGCGGACGGCACAUGAUACUGCGAGACUAGAGUAAUGGAGGGGGAACCGGAAUUCUCGGUGUAGCAGUGAAAUGCGUAGAUAUCGAGAGGAACACUCGUGGCGAAGGCGGGUUCCUGGACAUUAACUGACGCUGAGGCACGAAGGCCAGGGGAGCGAAAGGGAUUAGAUACCCUUGUAGUC